UACGUAGGGACCAAGCGUUGUUCGGAUUUACUGGGCGUAAAGGGCGCGUAGGCGGCGUGGUAAGUCAGCUGUGAAAUCUCCGAGCUUAACUCGGAACGGUCAGCUGAUACUGCUGUGCUAGAGUACAGAAGGGGCGAUCGGAAUUCUUGGUGUAGCGGUGAAAUGCGUAGAUAUCAAGAGGAACACCUGAGGUGAAGACGGGUUGCUGGGCUGAUACUGACGCUGAAGCGCGAAAGCUAGGGUAGCAAACGGG
rnacentral:rRNA from 1 species